rnacentral:lncRNA from 1 species
UUUUUGGUGAGGCGCACCUCAUUUAUUUUAAAGAAUCGUCAUAUAGUGACUAUGUUUUCUAUUUCGUUCGUCUCUAAAAUAAAAGAAGAAAAGUACCUAAUUUAUUUACAUGCUUGAGGGUUAUUAUAGCUAAGUUUCGAAUGCGACUCAUUGAAUCUGAAAAUAGACAUGUAUGCGGUCAGAACAGUUUAACAAAUAUGGGCCCAUGCCCACUGUAUAUGACGUGAAAUUGGACCUGGGCCGUCCCUACGCUAGUUGCGGCCCAGAUGAUUUAUUCUAUGUUUUUGACAUUUUGCAAAGGCUGAAAUGUGAACCAGUUAUAUCUAAUUUAACCUGUUCUUAUGAGUCUAGAUGAACAACUUGUUAACUGAAAUAGAUUAAGCUACUGAGUAAUUAAUCCUAAGGCCUAACAUGCAUUUAGAGUAUACCUUUUAUAAACAAAAAAGACUGAGGAGGGAGAAUAUUACUACUACAUCACAUGUCUUCUUUAACUAGCAUACAUAGGGACUUUAUU